rnacentral:lncRNA from 1 species
GAAAUGGGUUGUCAUUGGGUUUAUAAGAGACUUAGACACUAGUAAUAAUAACUGGGCUUAAGCAUUUUGGGCCGGUUGUUGGGUCCAACGAGUUAUUGUUGCUAGUGGGCUGGGUCGUUACAUAUUGUUGCUAGUGGGCUCGGUCGUUAUAUUUGGUAUCAGAGCCGGUUCACCAGCUGGACAUGUAUGGCAAGUCUCGGCUAAGCCAGGGUCUGGAUGACGGGCUAGCGAGACGAGUCUCACAUAACCUGGUGAUCUUGGGCUGUGUGUGAUUGGACUGACGAGGACGUAAGGACCUUAACGGGGGGAGUCUGUGACACCCCAAUAGUCCCACAUCGGAUGGGGAUGGGGUUGUCAUUAGGUUUAUAAGAGACUUAGACACUAGUAAUAAUAACUGGGCUUAAGCAUUUUGGGCCGGUGGUUGGGCCCAACGAGUUAUUGUUGCUAGUGGGCUGGGUCGUUACAUUUGGUAUCAGAGCCGGUUCACCAGCUGGACAUGUGUGGCGAGUCUCGGCUGAGCCAGGGUCUGGAUGACGGGCUAGCGAGACGAGUCUCACAUCGCCUGGUGAUCUUGGGCUGUGUGUGUGAUUGGACUGACGAGGACGUCAGGGCCUUAACGGGGGGAGUCUGUGACACCCCAAUAGUCCCACAUCGGAUGGGAAUGGGGUUGUCAUUGGGUUUAUAAGAGACUUAGACACUAGUAAUAAUAACUGGGCUUAAGCAUUUUGGGCCGGUUGUUGGGUCCAACGAGUUAUUGUUGCUAGUGGGCUGGGUCGUUACAUAUUGUUGCUAGUGGGCUCGGUCGUUAUAUUUGGUAUCAGAGCCGGUUCACCAGCUGGACAUGUAUGGCAAGUCUCGGCUAAGCCAGGGUCUGGAUGACGGGCUAGCGAGACGAGUCUCACAUAACCUGGUGAUCUUGGGCUGUGUGUGAUUGGACUGACGAGGACGUAAGGACCUUAACGGGGGGAGUCUGUGACACCCCAAUAGUCCCACAUCGGAUGGGGAUGGGGUUGUCAUUAGGUUUAUAAGAGACUUAGACACUAGUAAUAAUAACUGGGCUUAAGCAUUUUGGGCCGGUGGUUGGGGCCCAACUAGUUAUUGUUGCUAGUGGGCUGGGUCGU